rnacentral:scRNA from 1 species
UACCAAACACCCCAGCCUACUAACCAGCCACCGGAG